GCAUAUCAAUAAGCGGAGGAAAAGAAAAUAACAAUGAUUCCCCUAGUAACUGCGAGUGAAGAGGGACAAGCUCAAAUUUUAAAUCUGUCGGGUUUUACCCGAUCGAGUUGUAAUUUGAAGAAGCGUUUUCUGCGUAUUUGGUCAGCCCAAGUCCUAUUGAAUGAGGCAUCAUGGAGGGUGAUAAUCCCGUCCGGUUGAUCAUUGCGUUUUAUGAUACGCUUUCUAAGAGUCAAGUUGUUUGGGAUUGCAGCUUAAAAUGGGAGGUAAAUUUCUCCUAAGGCUAAAUAACGGCGGGAGACCGAUAGCGAACAAGUACCGUGAGGGAAAGAUGAAAAGAACUUUGAAAAGAGAGUUAAACAGUACGUGAAAUUGUUGAAAGGGAAACGAUUGAAGCCAGUCGUACCUAUGGGUAAUCAGCCUUUUGGGUGUGAUUUUGUGGAGCGUGAGGAGUUAAACGCCUUCAUGCCUGCAUAUUCGUGCACUUUGGGUGUACUUGCCCGUGUGUAAGUUAACAUCAAUUUUGGUGGUCAUAAAAUGGCUGGAGGAAUGUAGCUUCGAUCUUGUAUUGAAGUGUUAUAGCCUUCGGUAGAUGUGACGAUCGGGAUUGAGGAUUGCAACGGAUACCCUUCGGGGCUACCUGUCUGAUCUCUGAUUGUUGCUCUGGUACCGAAAGCUUGCUUACGGUUAUCAAAGUCGAUGGUCAAUAGGUUAGAACGGGUUAAAUUCGUUAAGGAUGUUGACGUA
rnacentral:rRNA from 1 species